rnacentral:rRNA from 1 species
GUAAAUAGGGGGCGGGGUGCUAAUACAUGCAAGUCGAACGCACGAAGUUGAAGAGCUUGCUCUUUAGACCAAGUGAGUGGCGGACGGGUGAGUAACACGUGGGUAACCUGCCCAUUAGAGGGGGAUAACAUUCGGAAACGGAUGCUAAUACCGCAUAGUUUCAGGAAUCGCAUGAUUCUUGAAGGAAAGGUGGCUUCGGCUACCACUAAUGGAUGGACCCGCGGCGUAUUAGCUAGUUGGUGAGGUAAUGGCUCACCAAGGCAAUGAUACGUAGCCGACCUGAGAGGGUGAUCGGCCACACUGGGACUGAGACACGGCCCAGACUCCUACGGGAGGCAGCAGUAGGGAAUCUUCCGCAAUGGACGAAAGUCUGACGGAGCAACGCCGCGUGAGUGAAGAAGGUUUUCGGAUCGUAAAACUCUGUUGUUAAAGAAGAACAAGGAUGAGAGUAACUGCUCAUCCCCUGACGGUAUUUAACCAGAAAGCCACGGCUAACUACGUGCCAGCAGCCGCGGUAAUACGUAGGUGGCAAGCGUUGUCCGGAUUUAUUGGGCGUAAAGCGAGCGCAGGCGGUUCUUUAAGUCUGAUGUGAAAGCCCCCGGCUCAACCGGGGAGGGUCAUUGGAAACUGGAGAACUUGAGUGCAGAAGAGGAGAGUGGAAUUCCACGUGUAGCGGUGAAAUGCGUAGAUAUGUGGAGGAACACCAGUGGCGAAGGCGACUCUCUGGUCUGUAACUGACGCUGAGGCUCGAAAGCGUGGGGGAGCAAACAGGAUUAGAUACCCUGGUAGUCCACGCCGUAAACGAUGAGUGCUAAGUGUUGGAGGGUUUCCGCCCUUCAGUGCUGCAGCUAACGCAUUAAGCACUCCGCCUGGGGGAGUACGGGCCGCGGGGCUGAGACUCAAAGGAAUUGACGGGGGACCCGGCACAAGCGUUGGAGCAUGUGGUUUAAUUCUAAGCAACGCGAGAACAUUACCAGGGUCGUGGACAGUCCUUUGACACUCUAGAGAUAGAGAUUUACCCUCCGCGACGAGAGUGAACAGUGGUGCAUGGCUUGUCGUCACUCUGUCGUGAGAGGUUGGAUUAGUCCGCACUACGCACCCGGUAGUGACUACUGCAGCAUUAUUUGGCACUCUAGUGAACUGCGGUGGCAGCCGAGGAGUGGGAGUGACGUCAUCAUCAUGGCCCUAUACUGCUACACGUGCUCAUGCAUGUACGAGAGUCGCCAGGUACGAGAGACCAGUCGAU